GACGAACGCUGGCGGCGUGCCUAAUACAUGCAAGUAGAACGCUGAAGGAGGAGCUUGCUUCUCUGGAUGAGUUGCGAACGGGUGAGUAACGCGUAGGUAACCUGCCUGGUAGCGGGGGAUAACUAUUGGAAACGAUAGCUAUUACCGCGUAAUAGUAGAUGUUGCAUGACAUUUGCUUAAAAGGUGCAAUUGCAUCACUACCAGAUGGACCUGCGUUGUAUUAGCUAGUUGGUGGGGUAACGGCUCACCAAGGCGACGAUACAUAGCCGACCUGAGAGGGUGAUCGGCCACACUGGGACUGAGACACGGCCCAGACUCCUACGGGAGGCAGCAGUAGGGAAUCUUCGGCAAUGGACGGAAGUCUGACCGAGCAACGCCGCGUGAGUGAAGAAGGUUUUCGGAUCGUAAAGCUCUGUUGUAAGAGAAGAACGAGUGUGAGAGUGGAAAGUUCACACUGUGACGGUAUCUUACCAGAAAGGGACGGCUAACUACGUG
rnacentral:rRNA from 1 species